rnacentral:rRNA from 1 species
UGUCUUUUAAAUGAAGACUAGAACAAAAGAUUUAACAUUUAAUUAUAUUUAUUUAAGCUAAACAUUCUAAUUUAUUCUAAAUGUUAAAAAACAUUUAUAUUUAAGAAAGACGACAAGACCCUAUUGAACUUCACUUUAGUUUAACUGGGGCAGUUAAUUAAAUAUUAUUUUAAUAUCAUUACAAUAAUAAGUACCUAACACAAUUAUAUAAUUCAGUUACCAUAGGGAUAACAGUGCAAUUAUAUUUUAAAGCCCUUAUUUAAAAAAUAGAUUACAACCUCGAUGUUGAAUUAAUCACCUAUUCAAAGCAAAUUUUGAAAAAGGAAGUCUGUUCGACUUUUAAAUAAUUACAUGAUUUGAGUUCAGACCGGUAUAAGCCAGGUCGGUUUCUAUCUUCUUAAAAUAUUCUUACAGUACGAAAGGACCUAAGAAACUAAUUAUAUUAGUAAAUUGGCAGAUCAAUGCAUUAGAAUUAGAAUCUAAUUAAACUAAUA